AGCUUUGUGCAGUGGCAGUAUUGUAGCCAAUGAGGUCUAUCCGAGGCGCGAUUAUUGCUAAUUGAAAUUGAACUUUCCCCAGAACCAUCGUAGUCACCAGCCAAAUGUGACUGUUGAGCAUUUGAAAUAUGGCUUGUUUG
ensembl:snRNA U4 U4 spliceosomal RNA